UUUGAGCGCCCUCAAAGGAGUGAAACAGCUCCCCUCUGGGUUCUAUCGACUGGCUAAUGUCAGCAAGCCUGUGUGGUCAAAAAUGGCAUUGCACCCUUACUGAAGUCUACCGAAGGAAAGGAUGCCAGGUGAAAUUUGGCAUCCUUUGAUUAAAAAAUAAUUAACUAUCAAACAGUAAAGCUGCCACUGUAAUGACACUGCCAAACUGUAAACGGACUCGUCAUUGUGAAGUGAAGCCUGUCGCAUACUGAUAACAGGACAAACAAAAGAAAGUUAACAUAAUUUAAAUGAAACAACCGGUAGUUUACCAACGUUAGUUAGCUAGCUUUACAGUGAUGCUAAUGGUGUCAGCAAACGAGGAGAGGAAGACUUCUGUCCACAAACAAACAAAAUUAAUGUUAAAGCAGCAAUGGAUACUUCAUCUUUAUCAAGGCUGUCAUUGGUCGAUUCCUGAAAAGCGACAAUGACAAGCAGAUUUAUGAAAAACUGAACAUACGAAAGGCACCCGAACUUCUCCCUACUAUGUCUCCGCCAGCAGAGAUUAGCAGGCAGGCAAGAACAAGAACAGGUACACGGGGAUACAACACUACUGACCUGACCAUUGCUGUUACAAGUGUUUGGCAUACAGGUGUAUGUCAGGUAUGUAUUUGGGUUGACUGGGUGAAGACUGCAGAGCAUCACUGCUCAGUCAGUCGAACUGGACAGAUGAUCAGGAUAACGGUGAGAAACGGCCGUGUCCAUCAUCCUGUCUUUCUUCAGCGUGAAGAACAUACAUUAUCAUCUCAUCAUUGUGCUGUCAGCAGUCUAUUCCUUCUGUGCCACACACACAUCGUUCUAUGUAGUAGCACAUACUGUCACUCCGCACUGAUAAGAUGUCCAUUACGCUUCUUUCAGCCCGACAGACAACAUAAAAUCACACAUUCUCACACACUCCUAGCACUGCUUUAGUACUCCUGUUCUGGUAGACUUGACUGUUGAUUUCUAAAAUGGACCAUAGAGCCACCAAAUGGAAAAGUUAUAUUCACAUGUUAUUUGAUGGUCCUUGCUCGCUAACUGCUUGUUUUAUGUAAA